AAUACAAGUUGAAACGCUUUCAGGUGACAGUAUUGCUCAACAUAAAAACUAAAGAGAAAGAAAAGCAGUAUGGCUGGGACAUAAUGGGUGAGAAAAAAAUGGAUACUUAAUGAAUUUAGCCCUUUGUGCUGGCACAAAAUCAUACUGGAAAUUAUGGACCACAGUAAGUGAGUGUCAUCAGACAACAGAUGUAUCAUGUCUACACAAUACGAUGGGUAGAAGUGCCUAAAUCAAUCACGUAGCAUGAGGAUAUAGCUGAUCCAUGCUUUAUUCCAGAUGCUUCUAGACUUUGGUCUUUUGGAAGGAAAAGGAUGAGUGUCUGGAAAAUAUCUCUAAAGAAAAAAGGAUUAUUAUUAUUAUCCCAAAGGAAAUGUUUCAUACAUGCACAAAAUUAAAGGGAACACAUAAAAUUAUCUGAAAGCAUAGGCUUUGAUCUAA